GGACACCACUUGUGACUGGUUGCCAGCUGGAUUUAACUCUAUUCACCACCACAUUUGUAUUGUUAAGAGAGCUGAUAUUAGUACUUGAAAUUAACUCUGCCAUAUUUUUAUGUUGGAUGAUCAUAGUUGAUAGCAAAUGCGAGUGUAGUUCUGUAUGACAGUAACAGUCAAGUAUAAUGGGAUACAGUUGUGGACUAUUGCGGUUUAGAAAUGUAAGAUGCUUUGCCUUCAAUUGGGAAUUCUGUGUUGGUGUGCUGCAAAUGGGUUCAGAGAUUGUACAGAAACUGUUAAGAUGCUUGCUUCUUGGCUUGCUUGUUUUAACUUUUGAACCUCUCAUCUGCUUGGUGUCGUUAAUCUACUUUGAGGGUUACUGUUUGGGAACUGGCUUUGUGUAUCUGAUGCUUAGUUUUUAGCUGGGAUGAUAGCUUCUAGGAGCAGAGUGCCAAGACUUGAAGUUGUCUUUAGGGAUGCCUGGGAUGGCUGAUAGUGAAACUGGAGGGAGGGAGCUCAGAGAUGUUUGGGAUCUGUCGUCCUUGUGUACCACAGCGCAGUUCUCCUGACCCGUGUACUGCUAUCACUUGCCAGGGUAUCUCCACAGGCUGGCAGUGCUGUGAUUUGGAAGAGGCUGGGUGCCAGCCCUUUCAGUGCGUUUAAUUAUGCUAAUGACUGGCAGAUAAUUAUUCAUAUUGCUAGCCUUCACAUUGGUAGUAAAGCAGGACUGAUUAGGUGGGUUUUUCCUCUUGCAGAAGCACAGUGUCUGAUGACAGAUAGCAAUAUCUUAGUGGGAGGGGAACAAGGGAUAUCUUUGUCAGCGAGUGCACAGUCCACCAAAUACAAAAUUGCAUGUCCAGGUUUGUUUCUUAUUCACUAUGGAAAGGGAGAUGCUCCAGGUGCUUUGGAGGGUCUGCACAUACUUGCUGGUUUAACUCGACUGAUUUAGAAAUACUACAGAUUAAAUGAGCGCAAGUUUGUAUAGAGGCAGGUCUUCAAAGCCCUUAAAUGAGAAAAUGGUGGAAAAAAUUUGAGGUUUCCUAUUUUCUGCAACUGCUGUCUGACUUAUGUUUUGUUAUUUCUGUAUUGAAUCCCAACAGAGCAUUUUCUCAUAACUCGAAGGGAGCUCAGGUAGUUGGUUAAAAAUGCAUGCAGCCGUUAGAGACUGCAGUUACGAUGUUGGGUGUAUCUUGUUAAAGAAUAGGGAUGAGAAUGAACAAGAGAAUUGCUAAACUCUUCAUGCCUCCAGAAUAUCCUUUCUUCAAAGGUGGCUUCUGUGGAGCCCUUGGAGGCAAAAGUUCUGGGGUGUAAACAGGCAAAAUUAAUUCUUACAGUGGAAAUCCCAGCUCAUAAAAUAGGAUGUUGCCAGGACUCUGUUUUGUUGGCUAUAAAACUAAGUAAGACUAAAUGAGCAGAGUAUGGUAAAUAAACUGCAAAGUCAUCAUUAAAAAAUGGUUUGAACUAGAAGAGGCUUGUUGGGAGAAGGAUGCUGGCAGAUUUUCCUAGUGCAGAUGUAGCUUCUGCCAGCAGAAAAAAGUGCUUUUGCAGGUAUAGCUGCUUUUGUGCAGGGAAGCGAUACAAGCUAUAACCACAGCUGCUCUGGGGCUUUUGCCAAGGUAAAGAUGUUGCUAAAGAUUGCAUCCCCAUGACACUGAUGUAUUGGCAAUGAUUUUUGGGGCCUAUCUGGUUUAGAAGUGUUGAGAUGGCUAAAUUUUUUUUUUCUUUUUUUUCUUGCUUGCUUGAGGGUUGUAGAGUAAGGCGUAGGCAUCACUGGGGUAGAUUUACUGCCCAUUUGUCAGGGUGACAUCAUGUGUGUAUAAAACAUAUUUUGCCAGUAAAUACUUCAAAGGGUUAAGCACUUUCUGUUUUGUAUUGCAUUGCAAUUUGGCAAGGCAUCAGUCUUUCUGCUGAAUGAUGCAGUGAUGAUACAUGGGCAAGGUCUGCUGUCAGAAAAUGAGAAGGUGGUGGUAAGAACUGGGAUCCGGUUGUGGAGCUGGAUUGCUAAAUGGGGAUGCUUGUUAAAUCUGUGCUGGAUGGUGAGUGACUGCUGUGACAUGGUGCACCCAAGUGCUCCCUUUAGCCAGGUAUGUGCAAGAGUAAACAAGCUUCAGGCCUUUGUGCAGUGAUGGGGAGAUGAAGUCAGCUUGUGGGAAGUGUGGGGUUUUUUUAUUUCUUUCCUAAAGUACUAUGUAGUGUGUUGCUGCUUUGGUGAGUGGGUAAAUUUUCCUCUCUGUCCAAGUGAAGCAUGCCAGAGGAGGUAAGAGUGGUGCUGCUUUGAGAAAAGGACAAAAUCGGAAGCAAUAAGGGACAGAGAAGUGAGGAGAAAUACCUAGUGCUUGGAUGCUUGCCACACUGAGGCCUGGAGGAGAAAAAUAAGAUGGAAGAAUGUUAAGGAUUUUUUCAUUGUAAAUAUUCUCUAAUGUUCUUGUAAAGUGCCACUGGGUAAAAAUUCAUCAGCCAAACCUGUGUCACGUUGUCUCUGAAGGGGUUAACUGUUGCAUGCCACCGGUGACUGUGUAUCAAAAUACAUUUGAGCUAACCUGGCCAUUGCCAUGAGAAAAGUUUUUAAUAGGUAUGGCUUUCGUUUACAUUUCAUUGUAGCUCUUUUACCGAUUUUUGUGGGUGUGACUUCAUUGUGCGCAUGGAAGAAGUUACGUGCCUUACCAUUUUCUUCUCCCUGUCUGUAUAUUUGUUGGAGAAUGUUAAUUAUAACAUUCUGAAGUGGAAGUCCGGAUUCAGGACACAGGCUGCACAGGCGUGUUAUUUUAAGAUUUUUGCAUCGUAAGUAUUUCCCUCCAAGUACCUGUGAAUCCGAGAGCUCUGACUGCUGCUGCAAGAGGUAGUCUGUCCUUUUGCUCCCUUUCUUGUCAGAGGAGGAAAAGGCUGCGUAAUCGGGCACUGCAGUAACUGCCAGGUGAGAAGAACCACAUGUUUGUGCUGGUGGUGCGCUUUGGGGUAAGGCUCUGUUCGCUGUCAGGGGCUAUCCUGGAGACAACGAAUUUUAAGGAAUGAACUCAACGGUGGUUAUCUUGAGGUGAUGUAUAAUUUGGCUGGAUUAUAUCUUCUGUGAUAAGUUGUUUUUCUUUGUGUUAGGACACGCUGUGAUAGAUGUUCUCCAUUACUGCCCAGUAACAAAAGCAGGUGGGAGACAGAUCACCCAACAAAUUGAGACUUAACCAUCAUUUGAGAGAUGUAUUUAUGCUGAACAUCCUUGGGUCUGAUCCUGUGCUUGCACACUAUCUAAAGAGAGGACACCGUUUCUUUAUUCAUCAUCUUGAAGGACUAUUGAGACCAGGAAAAGGACAAUUUGAGACACCUUUCCAGAGAAUUUAAUCCAGAAAAUCCAUUACUUGUUUUCUUGGCACAUGCUUGAGCCUGCAGACAGACCUGCUACGGAAACUUUCUAUGGAAAAAGAACACAAGUUAUCAGGAAUUUACCCUUCCCAGUAUUGCUGUGAUGCUGGGAGUCAGAAAAAUAUCCUCAUCCUCUCAGACUUUCCCUGAUUCAAGUAUGCCAUAGUAUCAUUAUUUCUUCAAGUUAUCCUAGGAAAAAAUAGUCUUUUGACAUCAUGAGAUACUAUAGGAUACUCUUCUUGGAAGGACUUUGCAGGUGUGUUUUUAAUUUUAAGUGGAACAGACAUUUUUUGGUCAGUUACUGUUCUGGUACAGCAGAUCUUCGUGAAUGAAGUGUGAUAGAAGAUCUUCAGGAAUGACGUGAGGGUUUGGCCUUUUUCAAAGGACAUACUGUUGAUCAAAGAUACGUUUUGUAAAACUGCCAUCAAAAGAGCAAAUUCUCAAAACCAUUCUUUGUGGCUGUAAGACUGGGUCUUGUGCAGUACAGAUUUCCUUCUGAGGUGAAGUACUUCAGAUACCUUCAUAGAUCUGCUAAUAGCAUCCUCCUAAGACUUACUGCCCACCCAGUGCCUUUUGACCAGGUAAUGCCUUUGAAUGUGCUUAAAGCCGCAAAAGUGAAGUUCUGUUAUCCUAAGGGCGUGCAAAAUCCAUGGAGAAGUCCCAGCUACUACUGACCAGUAAGUAGUUCACUGGCCAGGGUUGAAACGUUCUUUACAUUGUGUGAGCUGCUGGAAACUGGAGCUAACGGAGCUAGCCGUUUUGCUACCUGAUGGGGAGGAAUGGUGCCAGUUUCCUACAGAUCCAUCAAGCCCAUGAAAUGGGUACAGCCCUAUGGGUGAAUCUGGCACUGUACAAUGCUGACUGUGCUGAAAAGUGAAAUUAAUGUACUGAUAGGUAUUUGAGUGAAGAAAAAGAAACAGGGAAAGCUUUUAAAUUUUUUUUGAGACACCUCAGACUUCUAUAAAGUGAUUUAAGGGAAAAAGUUGUAAAGUAACAUUCCUUUUUCAGCUUUAUUGCUUUACCAUCUCUUUCUGCCUGCAAACAGGAGGGUUUCUGUGGCUCACAUUGGCAGACCUGCACUCUCCCAGAAAUACACAGUUCAUUCAGAAGCUGAGUUGCUGAAGACAGCAGCGUUCCCCUGAAACCCAAAUCUGGUGCUUUGGGUUGUUUUCCUUCUAUCAGUUUGAUGGGUAGCUGACCUGACAUGCCACUUCCAGUCUUUCCAAUGCUGACUAAUAAAAGACUUUUAAAGAAAAGUGUAUUUCUGUCUUGGUUACGUUAAGGACACAUCUUUGUAGAGAUUGGUGGUAUUCCCACAGUUUACUAUCAAAAUCUUCUGUCUGGUAGCUCAGCAGAAUACAGACCCCAGACACUGUAAUGAGGAUAUAGGCAGCACUAGGUCCUGCUCUGGUUAGUAGCUGGACUGCACUCCUGAGCAACCACCUCCCUCAAGAUCUGUCAUGCAAAUGGAGAAAGCUUUUGGAAGAAAGACGACAAACAUUGUUUCUCAUCAAGACAGUGAAUCUUUCUGGAUAAUGCUUUCUGAGAUGUACGACAAAAAUGCUGGUGGGAUAAUGGAGGAGAAAAGUAGGACCUCUGGCUGUAACUUGCAUCAAAUUGUUUUAAAGUCUUUGGGACAAGAAGAUUUGGAGAGUGUGUUGACAGGGGGAAGACCCAACCUUGGCGUGUCUGACAUGUCACUCUCAGCAGACUGAUUUCACAAACAAAUUUCUUGGAAGCAAGUCCCUGUUGUCAGAGUUGUGCCAACUCAGCUGUCUGGCGACACGGUGAUCCUCAUCUGGGUUAUAAUAAACCAGUGACCCCCUUAACCCAGGUCUGUUCCUCUGUCUGGUUCAUGUGUAGCCGUGCAAGCAGUUGGGCUCCCAUUGCUGCAUGGUCAGUCCCAGGAGCUGACGGUUGCGCGAGCUUGUGUUGCUGCUGAAAUAAAUAUUUCUGAGCUGCUACUCCUUGGUCUGGAGGCAAUGGGAUGCAGCUUCUUUGGAGCAGGUUCCGAAAAGCACAUUUUACUGCCCUGCCUAGUUACUGCCCUAUUUCCAAGUAAAAUAAUAAUCCAAGCAGCUGUUACUUUAUCUUACAAGCAAAAAUAGAGCUGGUGCAUGGCUAAGCUGUUUUGGGUUUCUGGAGUCUUCCUCAGUGUCUCUUAAAUCUUGUGCAAGGGAAGAGAUUUCUUACCUGGGUCUGAUCAACCCAUGCUCUUGGGCUAAGCCAAGGGGUUUUGAUACAUGUUGCCUAGUUGCUAAACUCUUCUGCUUUUAUUCAGCAUUGUUUAUUUCUGUAAAGAAAGCAUUUUUUUGCAUUCUUCCUGAACCAAUAUAGUAUUUUUUUCUUCAAGCCCCACACUAGGGAGUUGUCAUAUUGGCUUGAGACCCAAAUUGAUACCAUACCCAUGUGUCUUUGCUAGUCUUCUGGAGACUGGUGGUCUGACAGUCAAAUGAUGCUGCUUUCUGCCCCUGGGGAUGCUUGUGGUCUGGGGAAACCCAAUGGUUUUCUUCUGUGUUCGAUGGAGUUGGAUAUGUUUGUGGCACAGGUAUGUGGACAGUGCAGUAACUCUGGUAGGUCAAAAUGAAGUGUAAUGGGGUGAGAAUUUUUAUACUGCAGGUUCACGUACAGUAGAGGAAAAACAGAACCUGGGGUUCUGGAAGAGCAGUGAUGUGUAAUGUCAAGAGGGAAGGGGGCUGAAAUGUCCUUUGUGGCUGCUGCUUGUGCAAGUAAUACUCUAUGGAUGAGCAGGGAAGGUGACUACGUGUUGUUUGUGAUUGGCAAACAGAGGUCCGAUACGGCUUUUUCUAAAUAGCCAUCUUUUUCUUUCAUUGAUUUCUCAUCCUAACAGGAGCAAUGCUGUGGGGCACUGGAUAUUGACUGAAGGUUUGGCAUGAGGAGGAAAUUGGUAAUUGCCAAGAGCCUGGACUCUACCUGGAUGAACCUGCAGAUCCUUUACAUUCAGGAUAGCCAAAACUCUUUUGGGUUGCAGGUUGGGCUUUUAAUAUCACCUUGUCCACAGCCUGGCAGCUGUGCCUUGUGCUAUGUUCUUCCUCCGUAAUGGGAGAUAUUAAGGAGCUACUGAAAUAGUAAACUGGAAGAAUUAUAUGGAAAUGAUGCCAUCACCGUCUCCUACUCUUUGCAAAUUCAUGAGUGGGAGGCAAUGGGCUGAAUAAACCUGUUCUGAAACGUACUCUGGUACCCACGUGCUCCCACUCCGAUUCUCUCUCAGUACGUCAGCUAUAGUUGCUCAGUGGCAACUCUGGAAACUAUAGCUGUGGUUCGGGUUGCUUACACAGAUUUGCUGAGCUUUUGCUCAUGCAUUGGGAUUUCUUGUGGUGGGAGACACCUGGAGGAGGGAAAUACUUUGGGUGAUAGUGCUAUUGUGGGAAGUAAAACAAUAGCACUCCUUAUUCUAAAAGAGCUAAAAGGGAGAAAUGGUUUGUGAAAGCAUGUGCGUUGGAAGACCUCUUGUUCCAUAGUCCUCAAGUACGGUGGCGUAACUUGGUCAAAUUCACUGGGCCUCUGUACCUGUGGGCCUUUGCUCUUCAAAGGGUUGACUUUAUACUCCAGAACUGUAGCAAAGGGAAGUACAAGCCAAAGUGUUCUUCAGAUUAAAUGUAUAAAAUAAGGGUUAACAUCCCUCUGUAUCCUGUCAUCAAACCAUAGAUCUCCUGGUAUGGAAGCAAGUGUAGCUGAAACAUUGGAAAAUGCCUUCCUUGGUGGUAGCCCAUAUGCCGUUUCUAAUUUGUGUUGAGUUGGUGGUGGAGCUUCUGCAGUCAUCUGAGAGCCAGCGCUGCCCAGCACACCUGAGCAGCGUGGCAAAUCCGUCCCAUCUUCUUUUAUUUACAGUGUGAAUUCAGUUUUUGCAUUUCCAAAUCUGCUAAUUCAUCCUGGAGUUGUUGCUUUAGUAUUUUUUCUUUUCUGAUUUUAAAAGCUUUGUUAGACAAUGGAUCUUUGUUGCUGCUCCUAAUCAUUAACCUGAAAACUUUCCAAAAGGCUCGGAGAAAACAUAAAGCAGCUGACUGCUUCAUCUCUGUUUCUUGAACCAGUUAGCUGAAGUAAUAGUUUUCUCCAAAGUUGUUUUUUAUUAUCUUCCUCUACUAAAAGAGCAUACAUCCAUUAGAGCUAGAAAUGAUCAGUAAAGUGCAGAUAGAUUACUACAAGACGAAAUCAUAAUAUCAAGCUGCUAUUUGGUGCCAUCACAUUAUGGUAUUAAUUCCAUAAUUCUGUAAAGCCAAAUUCUCAAAAUUAAGAGAAGGGAAGUUAAUGAGUUGAAGAAAGCUAAGGAGAUGAUCAACAUGGCAACCGAAGCCUAUGUAUAUGUUAAUGGCAAGUUCAAGUGAAGUGGUAAAUGCCAGCCGGAGGACAGCAGUUGACAGCAGUGACUGGCAAUGUCACAGGGAAGUAGCCUGGCUUCAUGCGGAGUUGCUUGGAAAUUCCAGUAGCAGGAAACAGGUGUUUGGAAGACAAGAAGCAUCUCGGGUCCACCUGUGCAUGCUGUACUGGCCUCAUAAACCAUGAGAUGGCUAAUGGCAGAAAUGUCCCAUGGUGUGAUUCUCUCCCAAGCCUCAGAGAAUGACAGAAGAGGAACAUAUGGAUGUGUGGUGCCAGACCGAUCCGUUUAGCUGCUGUCCCCAUCUUCUCACCUCAGCCCUCUUAUGUUCUGCCUGUAAUUGAGCCAUGGAAUAUUAGGUUACAUGAAAGUUUUCCAGCAGCUUCUCUGAGUGCUUAGUUGGUGUUGUUUAAAAAUGAGCAAGUUUGAAGUUACCCUCUUUAGUAGAUCACGUCCUGGAAGUACUCAACACAUCUCAUCUGCUACAUUCAGUUCUUGGGAAUUUUAUUAAGCUGCUAGAAGUGAGGUUUUGCGCUUGUGACAUUUCCUUCAAUCAUCUCCUGAAAGAAUAGAUGCGAAUGGAUCUUCACAAAUGAAGGUUACCUGUAUGGGGCCGGGAGAGAUGCAAGUGAAGAGCAGUAGUGUUCACAGAGUAGAUGACCUAGUUAUUGCAGAAUUUUGGGCCGCGUCCACUUACCACCUGAUGAAGGAAGCAGCUGCAUGGUGUAUGUAAGGUCUGUUGUGUUGGUUGCCCUUGCUCUGUGUUGUGGGCAUAGAAGGAGCUGUUGUCCUUUGGGAGCGUCAGCGUUGCAAACCUGUUGGGUUUUGAAGUAACUGAAGACUUGUGGGAGGUUUCUGCUCUGGCACUUACUGCAGUUGAGCAUUGCCUGUUUGUAUUGGCCUGGAGGUUUAGGGCAUGCCUGCCUGCAUACCAGCUCUGUGACCUGGAGUCAUCUGGAGAGGAGCGGGGGAAAAACACAGUGCACCUGAUGAUGCUGGUCUCCAGGUCAUCAACAAGAGCUACA